rnacentral:lncRNA from 1 species
AAGAUGGGCUGCUGACUGUGGAUGCCCAGGGGUGCGGGGCUUGCUAGGCAGCUCCUCUCAGCUGGAGAUCCGCCCCCACCCUGCCUCCAGGGAUCUCCUCCCUCCACCCAGGGGUUCCCCCAGACCAGCUGCUGGUUGCUGUGGACCACCCCCUGUGCCACCUCCAGCAGUUCCGCCCUGCACUCUGUCUGCUCCAGGAGAAAAUCAACACCAGCCAGGACCCUCCUCUUUCCAGGCCCGGGGCCAGCACCCCAUGGUCCCCCUCGGAAGCCACCCACUACUCAGGAAACGACCUGCUGUCCCCCAUCCCAGGACCUGGCUAAGAAACUGAGCUGCCCAGGCUGGGCUCAAACUUGCCGUCCUCCUGCCUGAGCCUCCCAGUGUCCUGGGAUUGCAGACACGUGCACCAUGCCCAGGUAUUUUCUUGCUUUCUUUAAU